rnacentral:rRNA from 1 species
UACGUAGGGACCAAGCGUUGUUCGGAUUUACUGGGCGUAAAGGGCGCGUAGGCGGCGCGGUAAGUCACUUGUGAAAUCUCUGAGCUUAACUCAGAACGGCCAAGUGAUACUGCAGUGCUAGAGUGUGGAAGGGGCAAUCGGAAUUCUUGGUGUAGCGGUGAAAUGCGUAGAUAUCAAGAGGAACACCUGAGGUGAAGACGGGUUGCUGGGCCAACACCGACGCUGAGGCGCGAAAGCCAGGGGAGCAAACGGG